UGGGUUGCUGUAUACGAUGGUGUAUAC
rnacentral:sRNA from 1 species